UAUGGUGUUUACUUGAGUAAU
rnacentral:piRNA from 1 species